UGGGGCGUAACCGAGUGGUUCAGGUAUGUGGCUUUGACCCACAGUACGUAGGUUCGAAUCCUACCGCCCCAGCCA
rnacentral:tRNA from 1 species